rnacentral:lncRNA from 1 species
AGAUUUUAUGAUCAGCUCUUAAACUUGUACAGUUCAAGCCACUUUCUAGUUAAGGAGAGAGACAAGUAGAAAUAUCUACCUUGCCAGUUGCAAUGUACGCUCAUGCGACCAUGUAGUAUAAAUCCUCCGAAAUCUCUAUACAUAGAAAAGCAUUCAGAAGGCAAAAUGGCAGGCUUUGUUCUACAGCAGUGUUCAAGUCAAAGUUACAGAAAAGAAGAUAAGCUGAUCUAUGAGAAUAGUUAAAGACAUGCACAAUCAUGAUAUGCAUUUAUAUGGCUAGUUGGGUUACCCACAAGCAGGUAAUGUUAACAAUUAAAAAAUAAAUGCUACAACACUAGUUUCUAUGAGUUUUAGGAUAAACUUAAUAUUGUUUGGCCAAUUUGCUGCUAAUAUCAUUGAUUUUAUGUGAAAGCAAUGGUAAGCGUAAGAGAUACAUACAAACAACAGGCAAAAAGAUAAUGGUGGAUUGAGGGUAACUGUAAAUAUAGGAAAUAGAUACAAACAAUAGGAAAAGAUAUAAUGGCAGAACUAAAUACAAGCUGAUUAUAAAGUACCAAAUAUAUGAAGAUUACCUGGAAAAUCUUAACAUAUUCUGAGGAUACUAAUGAUCAGGAGAUAAUUGGAAGAUCUCCCUUAAUUACAGAACUUAAUUCAUGCUGAAUAACUACCAAAAUAGAGGUCAGAUUAAAGCUUUCUGCAGAGAAGAAAAAAGAUCACAGAUGCAUAUAUCAAAACCGUGAAAAUUUUCACUCCAAA